rnacentral:piRNA from 1 species
UGGGAAUUACCCCAUGGGCAUCUGAGUA